CAAGGAAUAGUUUAAUUUUAGAAUUCUAGCUUUGGGAGCUAGGGGUGGGAGUUAAAAUCUCCUUUCU
rnacentral:tRNA from 1 species